UAAAUUCCUCUUUAUAGGUAA
rnacentral:piRNA from 1 species